UUGUGUUCUUGUCAAAACGUUUUUUAAAAUACUCUGUUUCUUGCAUGCCAUCAUGUAAAACAACUCCCAGUCUUUGUUUAGGGCUUAUAUCACUAGUUUUACCACAAUCAAUUGCAGAAGCACCUGUCUCAUACUUAUCGGCAUCCGAUUCAGGGUCGAGAGAAUCCUUAACUUGAGAUACACUUAACUCAAUGCCAUGAGAGUCAUCAAAACGAAUCCCAAUAUCUUCGUAUGCAUCUUCCAUAGUCAUAUUAUCCAAGUCUGAUAGAUGAUCGAUUUCACUUAUUUCAUUGACUGAGCUACUGCUG
rnacentral:lncRNA from 1 species